UUUGGUUAAGUUAGAAAGGGCGCACGGUGGAUGCCUUGACACUAGGAGUCGAUGAAGGACGGGACUAACGCCGAUAUGCUUCGGGGAGCUGUAAGUAAGCUUUGAUCCGAAGAUUUCCGAAUGGGGAAACCCACCAUACGUAAUGGUAUGGUAUCCUUAUCUGAAUACAUAGGGUAAGGAAGACAGACCCAGGGAACUGAAACAUCUAAGUACCUGGAGGAAGAGAAAGCAAAUGCGAUUUCCUGAGUAGCGGCGAGCGAAACGGAACAUAGCCCAAACCAAGAGGCUUGCCUCUUGGGGUUGUAGGACAUUCUAUACGGAGUUACAAAGGAACGAGGUAGACGAAGCGACCUGGAAAGGUCCGUCGUAGAGGGUAACAACCCCGUAGUCGAAACUUCGUUCUCUCUUGAAUGUAUCCUGAGUACGGCGGAACACGUGAAAUUCCGUCGGAAUCUGGGAGGACCAUCUCCCAAGGCUAAAUACUCCCUAGUGAUCGAUAGUGAACCAGUACCGUGAGGGAAAGGUGAAAAGCACCCCGGAAGGGGAGUGAAAGAGAUCCUGAAACCGUGUGCCUACAAAUAGUCAGAGCCCGUUAACGGGUGAUGGCGUGCCUUUUGUAGAAUGAACCGGCGAGUUACGAUCCCGUGCGAGGUUAAGCUGAAGAGGCGGAGCCGCAGCGAAAGCGAGUCUGAAUAGGGCGUUUAGUACGUGGUCGUAGACCCGAAACCAGGUGAUCUACCCAUGUCCAGGGUGAAGUUCAGGUAACACUGAAUGGAGGCCCGAACCCACGCACGUUGAAAAGUGCGGGGAUGAGGUGUGGGUAGCGGAGAAAUUCCAAUCGAACCUGGAGAUAGCUGGUUCUCCCCGAAAUAGCUUUAGGGCUAGCCUUAAGUGUAAGAGUCUUGGAGGUAGAGCACUGAUUGGACUAGGGGUCCUCAUCGGAUUACCGAAUUCAGUCAAACUCCGAAUGCCAAUGACUUAUCCUUAGGAGUCAGACUGCGAGUGAUAAGAUCCGUAGUCAAAAGGGAAACAGCCCAGACCGCCAGCUAAGGUCCCAAAGUGUGUAUUAAGUGGAAAAGGAUGUGGAGUUGCUUAGACAACUAGGAUGUUGGCUUAGAAGCAGCCACCAUUUAAAGAGUGCGUAAUAGCUCACUAGUCGAGUGACUCUGCGCCGAAAAUGUAUCGGGGCUAAAUACACCACCGAAGCUGCGGAUUGAUACCAAUGGUAUCAGUGGUAGGGGAGCGUUCUAAGGACAGUGAAGUCAGACCGGAAGGACUGGUGGAGUGCUUAGAAGUGAGAAUGCCGGUAUGAGUAGCGAAAGACGGGUGAGAAUCCCGUCCACCGAAUGCCUAAGGUUUCCUGAGGAAGGCUCGUCCGCUCAGGGUUAGUCAGGACCUAAGCCGAGGCCGACAGGCGUAGGCGAUGGACAACAGGUUGAUAUUCCUGUACCACCUCUUUAUCGUUUGAGCAAUGGAGGGACGCAGAAGGAUAGAAGAAGCGUGCGAUUGGUUGUGCACGUCCAAGCAGUUAGGCUGAUAAGUAGGCAAAUCCGCUUAUCGUAAAGGCUGAGCUGUGAUGGGGAAGCUCCUUAUGGAGCGAAGUCUUUGAUUCCCCGCUGCCAAGAAAAGCUUCUAGCGAGAUAAAAGGUGCCUGUACCGCAAACCGACACAGGUAGGCGAGGAGAGAAUCCUAAGGUGUGCGAGAGAACUCUGGUUAAGGAACUCGGCAAAAUGACCCCGUAACUUCGGGAGAAGGGGUGCUUUCUUAACGGAAAGCCGCAGUGAAUAGGCCCAAGCGACUGUUUAGCAAAAACACAGCUCUCUGCGAAGCCGUAAGGCGAAGUAUAGGGGGUGACACCUGCCCGGUGCUGGAAGGUUAAGGAGAGGGGUUAGCGUAAGCGAAGCUCUGAACUGAAGCCCCAGUAAACGGCGGCCGUAACUAUAACGGUCCUAAGGUAGCGAAAUUCCUUGUCGGGUAAGUUCCGACCCGCACGAAAGGUGUAACGAUUUGGGCACUGUCUCAACCAGAGACUCGGUGAAAUUAUAGUACCUGUGAAGAUGCAGGUUACCCGCGACAGGACGGAAAGACCCCGUGGAGCUUUACUGUAGCCUGAUAUUGAAUUUUGGUACAGUUUGUACAGGAUAGGCGGGAGCCAUUGAAACCGGAGCGCUAGCUUCGGUGGAGGCGCUGGUGGGAUACCGCCCUGACUGUAUUGAAAUUCUAACCUACGGGUCUUAUCGACCCGGGAGACAGUGUCAGGUGGGCAGUUUGACUGGGGCGGUCGCCUCCUAAAGUGUAACGGAGGCGCCCAAAGGUUCCCUCAGAAUGGUUGGAAAUCAUUCGUAGAGUGCAAAGGCAUAAGGGAGCUUGACUGCGAGACCUACAAGUCGAGCAGGGACGAAAGUCGGGCUUAGUGAUCCGGUGGUUCCGCAUGGAAGGGCCAUCGCUCAACGGAUAAAAGCUACCCCGGGGAUAACAGGCUUAUCUCCCCCAAGAGUCCACAUCGACGGGGAGGUUUGGCACCUCGAUGUCGGCUCAUCGCAUCCUGGGGCUGUAGUCGGUCCCAAGGGUUGGGCUGUUCGCCCAUUAAAGCGGUACGCGAGCUGGGUUCAGAACGUCGUGAGACAGUUCGGUCCCUAUCCGUCGUGGGCGUAGGAAAUUUGAGAGGAGCUGUCCUUAGUACGAGAGGACCGGGAUGGACGCACCGCUGGUGUACCAGUUGUUCUGCCAAGGGCAUAGCUGGGUAGCUAUGUGCGGAAGGGAUAAGUGCUGAAAGCAUCUAAGCAUGAAGCCCCCCUCAAGAUGAGAUUUCCCAUAGCGUAAGCUAGUAAGAUCCCUGAAAGAUGAUCAGGUUGAUAGGUUCGAGGUGGAAGCAUGGUGACAUGUGGAGCUGACGAAUACUAAUAGAUCGAGGACUUAACCAUAUAA
rnacentral:rRNA from 1 species